ACCGAGAGAGGACGGAGGGAGAAAGACAGGAGUGGAUAGAAGCGAGUCAGACCAAAAGAUUGAAAGAAAGAGAGGAAUUGAGAAACAACGGACCACUCCAAAAGUUUAUUCCCCAAGGGUCCCAUCAACCCUUAUAUGGCCAGUGGGGUCCCUCCCUCUCUCUCUCUCUCUCUCUCUCUCUCUCACUCUGUCUCUCUCUCCUUCCUUCUCUGACUCCUCAUUCCCUCUUUUUUGCUAUGCCUUCCAUGAACGUCCUGCCAGAUAGGCGGCUGUGGGAGUCGAAUGUGCCACGUCAAGGCUGGAUACUGCAAACCAACGCGGGAAAAAGGCAGCCAGGGACGAGAUGGGACCGCGAAAGUCGAAAAUGGGUAAACGGACGUCUGGGGCGCCUCUCACCGUCCUCUACAUCAUCCCAACUGAGAAUGAGAUAGAAGCAAUGGAGUCUAUUUCUGUCCUGUUUAUUUUGCAUCUUCUACCGCCUCCUGUGAAGGUCGAGGCCAGCAGGGUUGGACUGAGUGAUUGAAGUAGAUAAAGAAAAAGAGGUGAAAAGCGAGAGAGAGAGAGAAAGAGAGUGAGAGAGAGGGCUGGAACUAUCUCCUGCUCCGUCAUCCCAGUGUUCAGACUACCUGUUCAGGAUCAUACUGGUGUACAGUAGUCUGCACAUUGGUUAGACUGUGCAUGGACUCACAUCGCUGGAGAACCGAAGCAAACACUCAAACUCCAGCUAAAACACACACAAACUCAACGACUGCAGGCUCUAGGAGGCUGGAUGGUGUUUGGACAAAGUCUUACAAUUUUCCACCCAGGAAUGUGUAUGGCCCCAGUGAGACUGCCAACCACAGAGACAGAAUGAAAUGAAGAGAAAGUAAAGAAGAUAGACAGGAGAAGAGAUGGAUGUAUUGAAAAGUGUGUCAAAUAUUAACUGAAUUUCAAAUUUAAAUGUGAUUCUUGAAUUGAAAAGUCCUGGAGAAAUCCUGCACACGCUUAUAUUACAAAGAAAUAAUGGAUUCAGCAGAACAUGAGGAACUGUAAAACCAGCCAACUUCUGGAGUCCUCUAAUAUUUAAAAACUCAUCUUUAAUUCAGUGCUAAUUUUAAAAGAAGCCAUAAUUUUAAUCUACCAGAGUUUAUAAUUCGGAGUUUAGAUGUGUUUGCAUUUGAAUAUUUUGAGCCUGAAGGUGUGCGAGUUUCAGAAAAAUACACCAGUGUUUAUACGAAUUCCUCCGUUUGAAGUGCUGAGCGGGUUUUGAGUUUCAGUAUUCAUUAAAAUUAGUGUUUGCUUAUAUAGUCGCAUGCAUUUGGCAGUCAGGACGACUGGUAAGCAUAAGUGUGUCUGCGUCUGUGUGUGUUUAAGAUUCUGUGUAUAUCAAUAUCCAUGUGUGUCUGAGAGUGUGUGUGUUUGUGUGUUAGUUUGACUUGGGGGGCUUCCAGCUAUGUCAGGGUGAUCCAGACCAAAUGCCUUAAUUCCCAACGGACAGAGAGAGAGACGGUGGGGGUAUACCAGGAAAAGGGAGCAAGUAAAAUAAGAAGCAAAGGAGGAAAAGAGGGAUUCAUCAAAAUGAGAACAGUGAAAUACAAGUGAAAUCAAGAGUUUUAGAAUCCAGAAUCUUUGUUAAAAGUGCUAUGAAUUUUCAGUGUCAUUUUAAAAUCUCAGCAGACACUCAUCGGUUUAUCCUUAAAGAAUGGAAUAAGAAAAGCAUGUAAAUGUAUGUUAAAUGUGCAAUGAUGUAAAUAGAACCACAUUUAGAGGG